GUGUGAUUCUCUCCGAGCUGAGAGAGGAGAGAGGAUGCAUUUCUCUGCUCCUGCAGAGGCAAGAUGUCUUUCUGUAAUAUACCAGCUUGGAACUGUAAAUAAAGCAAUAUGGAGUAUGGAGCACGUAUUCUUCAUCCUUCCGCUGGCCACGACAGACUCUGCUUUAAAUCAACACGUGGUUAUGGGCUCCAGAGGUCGAAUCGGAGUGCCGGCAGAGGAUCGGAAUGCAGAGGAGGACAGAUCGGAACGGAAUCUGCUCUGCGCGUAGAAGUGAUUGAUGAGGUAUGUGCUACUGCUCCGGGCAGCCUGCCAGCUUCAAGUUAAUGGCUUUAUGGCUGGACUUUGAACUUUUAAAGCCGGUUUUGCCGGGAAUAGGCAAAAGGCUCCCAGGCACAAGUCACUAUGCUGGGGAAAUCGAAAGUAACUUUUAAGUGUGCCUUUGUAAUGAAGCAGCUGCAGCAGUGACGCAGCAAGAUUUAAAGCAGCAUAUGACGCUGAAGGCUAAUGCCAGAGUCAUGAUGGCCCUUCAGGAUGCUUGUGGGAUUCCUAAGCUCAACAAGAAAAAUUACAGCGACUGGGUUCAGUAUGCAGAGGCAAUUCUGCGGAAAGAGGGUUUGUUUGAGGUGAUUACAGGAACCCCCAGUUCCAGUUACAGAUGCAUGGGAAGCUAAGGAUUCCAAAGCAAGGGAACUCUUACAUUGAUAGUAUCCCCAGAAGAGCUCUGUCUAUUGCGUGAUAAGACCUCAGCCAGAGAAAUUUGGGACGCUCUGAGAGAGGCUCAUUUAAGGACAGAAGCUGGAUCAACUAUGUUUUAUUUUAACAAGCUGCAUAAUAUGGCUCUUGCUGAAGGUGGAGAUGUGCGUUUACAUCUGAUGGAGAUGCAAAAUCUGAGACAUGAGCUGCAACAGAGAGGACUCAACUUUCCAGAGGCUGUGUAUUCUUUCAUGAUACUACAAUCUUUGGGUUCAGGUUGGGAGUCUGUUGCAACCCAGAUUGCUGUGCAACCAACUGCUCAGCUGACAGUGGACUUUGUUACUGCCGUGAUUUUAAAUGAAGCAGAUCGCCGGGGUGCUAGCUGCAUGGGCAAGGGAGAGUCUUCACAGACGUCAUCCCAUAGUGCAGUGGAACCACCAGAUGGCGCCAAAGCUUUGAAGGCAGUGAAAUGCUACUCGUGUGGACGUCUAGGCCAUAUGAAGAGGGAAUGCAGACAUCCCAGGGCCAAGACAGAGCAGCGCAGCGAAAGCUCAUCGCGCGGAAAAGGCCGAGGCAAAGGCAAAGGUCCGGUGUCUAGGACAACGCAGCACAAGGCUAUGGUUUCACGCUUCACUCCAAAGGUUGCAGAGGUCCAGAAGACGUCUAGAUCUUUCUUCGUUGUUGAUUCAGCGGCCACCCACCACAUGUGCAACGAUAAGAAACUGUUUGUGUCUUUUACACCGCAGGAAGGUGCGAUUCACCAGGCGGAUGACCACACUAUUCCCAGUAAAGGCUACGGAACUGUUGUUCUUCACAGUUUGGACUUAUCGAUACAGAAUGUGCUUUACGUGCCAGACGCCAAACAUAAUCUGCUCAGCGUUGGACAGCUGAAUGAGCGGAACAUUGACGUUUCCUUCAAGAACAAGAAGUGCAUCAUCACAAAGAAAAAUGAUUAUGUAUUGCAUGCAGAAUAUGUUGAUCAUUUGUUUGUUUUGUAUUAUGAUGAUGUGGUGCAGGAUGACACUUGUUGCAUUGCAGGUUCUAACAAAAGUUUGCAUGCAGAAUGUAUUCACGAUUUUCAUCGCAAAUUUGGUCAUUUGCAUUUUGAGGCAGUAUCUAAAAUGCCUGCCUUGGUUGAAGGUAUGACUAUUAAACCCUGCAGGUACCACAUGAAGUGCAAAGCAUGCGCAGCAAACAAGGUGAAAAUGGCUGCGAAAGGUAAGGUGUCUAGUAGGAAAGCUACAGAACCAUACCAGGUUGUUCAUGCUGAUUUGGUUGGACCACUAUCGCCCUCUUUGGGUGGAAAUAGAUACUUCAUGGUUCUCAUUGAUGCAUUUUCUAGAUAUAUUUUUGUGUACAAUCUCAAGCAGAAAUCAGAGGCUUUUCCUAGGUUCAAGGAAUUCUGUGCUUGGUUGGAAAAUGUGCAUGGUAAGAAGAUAAAGACUCUUUUCAGUGAUCGCGGGGGGGAAUUCACUUCUCAGCAGUUUGAAGCUUUUCUGACUGAGAAAGGAAUUCAACACGAUUUGUCUAGUCCUCGCUCGCCAUGGCAGAAUGGACUUGCGGAGCAGGCAAAUCAGACAUUGCUUCAAGGCUUAAAAACCUUGCUGCAUGAUGCCAAUCUUCCAGAGAGUUAUUGGGCCGAAUCUCUCUCGUGUUUUGUUUACAGUUACAAUCGCAGGUUAUCUUCAGCGAUUGGAUGUACCUCUAUGAGAAGAUGUUUGGCAAGAAGCCAUACAUCAAACACAUGAAGAUUUUUGGUUCUGACAUGUGGGUUCGCUCACCACAAAACUCCAAGUUAGACAAGCGUGGAUUGCAUGGUAUCUUUCUAGGUUAUCAGAAAGGGUCUUACAGAAUAAUGAUGACUGACUCUAAGACAAUUAAGCUCACGAGAAGUGUUGAGUACAAUGCAAAGUGGGGGAGAAUGUGGGAAUUUUCCAAUGUUAUCCUGAUGACGGUGAUGAGACUGAGGAUAGUCAAAAGCAACCACAACAACCCACACCCACUGAUGAAGGUUCUGAGUCUGAAUCUGAAACUGAAUCGGGUGAUUCAGAGGAUUUCAAGAGUGCGAAAGCCUCUAUGCGACCCUCUGAAAGCUCUGAUCAAGAAUUGGAGGAACCAUUGUUCACAAUAGGUCGUUUUUCUCCUAAGAAGGAAGAGGAGAGUGUUGAAGACUUAAGGCUAAUUCGUAGGUCACAGAGAGCCACAAAAGGCAAACCUCCAAAGAGAUUUGCUGAUGAGUUUGCUACGAUAGCAGUAACAGCUGUUAAAAGCUCCAAGAAGGUAUUUGAACCUUCAAGUUUCCAAGAAAUCCAGGGUUUGGAUUCAAAGGAAGCUGAGCCAUGGUUAAAUGCCAUGAAGGCUGAGCUUGAUUCCUUAGAAAGGAACAAAACAUGGGAGCUAGUUCCAGUAGUUCCAGGAAUGAAACUGCUUGGAAGCAAAUGGGUCUUCAAAGCGAAGACAGAUCAAAAUGGCAAGAUAGUCAGACACAAAGCCAGAUUGGUAGCCAGAGGUUUUGCACAGGUACCAGGUGAAGACUAUCACGAGACCUAUUCACCCACAGUGAGAUAUGAAAGCAUUAGGCUUAUGCUUAAGCUAGCUGCAGAGGAAAAUCUACACAUUAGUCACCAUGAUAUUAAUACAGCUUUUCUGUACGGAUCUCUAGAUGAAUCACUUUAUAUGCUUCCACCUGAUGGCGUACAGGUAAAACAGGGAUUUGUUUGUGCUCUGAAGAAAUCCCUUUAUGGUCUCAAACAAAGUGCACGGUGUUGGCACACAAAACUCACUGAAGUAUUGUUUUCUCUAGGUUUUCAGCAAGGAAAGCUGAUCCAUGUGUAUUUGUCAAAGAGGAGGGGCAAAAGAAACUGUACUGUUUGUUUUAUGUUGAUGAUUUAUUAUUCUUUUGGAAAGAUGUUGCAAUGUACAAUAGCGCCCUAGCUCAACUGAAAGAGCACUUUGACAUGAAAGAUCUUGGUGAGGUAAACAACUACCUAUCUCUGGAAAUAGAGAGAGAUCAAGAUGGUAACAUUCUAGUACACCAGUCACGGAAAAUUGCUGAUGUGUUAAGCAAACUAAAUCUGAUGGAUGCUAACCCUGUAGACACACCGAUGACAACAGGUUAUCAGGUAGAUGACACUGAAGAAGCAUUUUCUGACACUACACUGUACAGGAGUGUGCUAGGCAAGCUAAACUUCAUUGCCAGAUGUUCAAGACCAGACAUUGCUGUUAGCUGUAAUUUGCUAAGCAGACAAGUCAACAAUCCUAGUGUCAAGGAUUGGAAAGCUCUGAAACGCAUAGCGCGGUAUUUGAAAGGCACUAUGCAUUACAGACUGAGAUUUAACAAUCAGAAGUCUGGUGGUCUUGAGAUAUUUGCAGAUGCAAGUUUUGGAAGUGACGCUACAGACAGGAAAAGUACGUCUGGAGUUUGCUAUAUGUACAAUCAGAGUCUGUUUGAUUGGUCAUGCAAGAAGCAAACAACAGUUAGCUUAAGUACUUGUGAAGCCGAACUGAAUGCACUGUCUUAUUCACUUAAGGAUUGUGAAUGGUUAGUACAAUUGUGCAAAGAUAUGAAAAUUCCUGUCAAAUGUCCAAUCCAGGUUUACCAGGACAACAAAGCAUGUUUGGCUUUGCUGAAGUCUGAAGGUUGUAAGCAAAGCACAAAGCACUUGCAAUUAAAGUUGCAGCAUGCUAGGGAAUGUAUUCAGAAGGGACUCGUAACGGUGUCCUAUAUGCCAGGUAAUGAAAUUCCUGCUGAUGUAUUGUCCAAGAUUGUAUCAAGGGAUCAACACUGUACCUAUGUGCAGAAGUUGGGUUUGUACUGAUAUUGUACGAACACGCUGCCCAGUGAUGUUCACAGAAAUGGGGAGGAUGUUGGUUUCUAUUUCCCUCACUGAGCAGCAACUGCAGUCACAAGACAGGUGUUUACAUUCCACAGUCUGUACUGUUGGAGUUUCUCACGGGAAAGGGAGACUGGAUGUGACGUACACUGGUUUCCUGUUUUUUCACUGUGUGAUUCUCUCCGAGCUGAGAGAGGAGAGAGGAUGCAUUUCUCUGCUCUUGCAGAGACAAGAUGUCUUUCUGUAAUAUACCAGCUUUGAACUGUAAAUAAAGCUAUAUGGAGUAUGGAGCACGUAUUCUUCAUCCUUCCGCUGGCCACGACAGACUCUGCUUUAAGUCAACA